GGUAGUAUAGUGUAGUGGUAACACGCCAGAUUGUGGCAGUAUGUCUCAUGCUCAUAACUCUCUGGUAUCCCCGGUUCAAUCCCUGGUACUGCCA